AGGACAGGACAGGUAGUUUCCACCUGGAUAGGAUAGGACAGGUAGUUUCCUCCUGGAUAGGACAGGUAGUUUCCACCUGGAUAGGACAGGACAGGUAGUUUCCACCUGGAUAGGACAGGUAGUUUCCACCUGGAUAGGACAGGUAGUUUCCUCCUGGAUAGGACAGGACAGGUAGUUUCCACCUGGAUAGGACAGGUAAUUUCCACCUGGAUAGGACAGGUAGUUUCCCCCUGGAUAGGACAGGUAGUUUCCACCUGGAUAGGACAGGACAGGUAGUUUCCCCCUGGAUAGGACAGGUAGUUUCCCCCUGGAUAGGACAGGUAGU
ensembl:lncRNA